rnacentral:rRNA from 1 species
UUAAGCUAAGAAGAGCGUAGGGAGAAUGCCUUGGCAUUAGGAGCCGACGAAGGACGUGAUAAGCUGCGAUAAGCUGCGGGGAUCAGCAAGUAUGAAUUGAUCCGCAGAUUUCCGAAUGGAGCAAUCCGUAUGUGUAUGCACAUACAUCAUAUACUGAAUCAAAUAGGUAUAUGAGGGGAACCGCCUGAACUGAAACAUCUAAGUAGGGCGAGGAAGAGAAAUCAACCGAGAUUCUGUGAGUAGUGGCGAGCGAAAGCGGAAGAGGCUAAACCAUAGGUAGCAAUACUUAUGGGGUUUCGGACAGCAUUUAGUAUUGAUAAUUUCUAGUUGAAACGUGUGGGAAAACGUACCGAAGAGUGUGAGAGUCACGUAAGCGAAAGAGAAAGUCAGCGAGCUGUAUCCAAAGUACCGCGGGACACGUGAAACCCCGUGGGAAGAUGGGGGGACCAUCCUCCAAGCCUAAAUACUACCUAAUGACCGAUAGCGAAUAGUACUGUGAAGGAACGGUGAAAAGAACCCCGGGAGGGGAGUGAAAAAGAACCUGAAACCCUAUGCUUACAAGCACCGAGAGCACGUCAAAGUGUGAUCGGGUACCUUUUGUAGAAUGGUCCGGCGAGUUAUUGUAUGCGGCAAGGUUAAGUGCUUAAGGCACGGAGCCGAAGCGAGAGCAAGUCUGAAUAGGGCGAAUAAGUCGUAUGCAAUAGACCCGAAACCGAGUGACCUAUCCAUGUCCAGGCUGAAGUGGAGGUAAAACUCCAUGGAGGGCCGAACACACGUCCGUUGAAAAGGCCGGUGAUGAGGUGUGGAUAGCGGAGAAAUUCCAAUCGAACUCGGAUAUAGCUGGUUCUCUCCGAAAUAGCUUUAGGGCUAGCCUCGUGAAAGAUUACUGGAGGUAAAGCACUGAAUGGGCUAGGGGUCGAAAGAUUACUGAACCCUAUCAAACUAAGAAUGCCAGAUAAUUGAUUCACGGGAGUCAGACAAUGUGAGAUAAGUCUCAUUGUCAAAAGGGAAACAGCCCAGACCCACAGCUAAGGUCCCUAAACAUUGUUAAGUGGAAAAGGAUGUGGGGUUGCAUAAACAACCAGGAUGUUGGCUUAGAAGCAGCCACUCAUUAAAAGAGUGCGUAAUAGCUCACUGGUCGAGUGACCCUGCGCCGAAAAUUCAACGGGGCUAAACAAUGUACCGAAGCUUGGGAUUCUAGAUUUAUCUAGAGUGGUAGGAGAGCGUCGAAUAAGGGGUGAAGUCAGAGCGGAAGCGCUGGUGGACUUUAUUCGAGUGAGAAUGCCGGAAUGAGUAGCGAGAAUUAUGUGAGAAUCAUAAUGGCCGAAAAUCUAAGGUUUCCUGAGGAAGGUUCGUCCGCUCAGGGUAAGCCGGGGGCUAAGGCGAGGCGGAGACGCGUAGCCGAUGCACAUACGGUUGAAAUUCCGUAGCCACCGAAAGAUUUAAGUACAGGGACGCUUUAGAAGUGAUGUAGCCGGGCGAUGGUUGACCCGGUCGUAAGGGAUCGAAAAUGAGUAGAGAAGUCAUCAUGGAAAGAGACAAGAAAAGCUGUAUGAAUAUCUUAGGUGCCCGUACCGCAAACCGACACAGGUAGAUAGGAAGAAGAUUCUAAGGCCAACGGGAGAAGGGUUGUUAAGGAACUCGGCAAGUUGACCCCGUAACUUAGGGAUAAGGGGUGCUCAAGUGAUUGAGCCGCAGAGAAUAGGCCCAGGCGACUGUUUAGCAAAAACACAGGUCUCUGCUAAAUCGAAAGAUGACGUAUAGGGGCUGACACCUGCCCGGUGCCGGAAGGUUAAGAGGAGAUGUGAGAGCAUUGAAUUGAAGCCCCGGUAAACGGCGGCCGUAACUAUAACGGUCCUAAGGUAGCGAAAUUCCUUGUCAGGUAAGUUCUGACCCGCACGAAAGG